UAAUCCACCCAUCUCGACCUCCCAAAGUACUGGCAUUACAGGCAUGAGCCACCACGCCCAGCCUGAACUUAUGAAUUUUUGAACUUCCUUUUAACACCAGCUGUUUUGUUCCACAAAGCUCAUGGAGACUCCUAAAUAGUGAUGGCUUUAACAAUGACUGUGGAAAACAGUAGUGGAGGAGGAGAGAACAGUCUAAAAGAAAUAUUCUGAGGCAAGAGAGACAAAGUCUGAUAAUGGUAUUUUGGCAAAGGAAGGGAAAAGUUAGGAAACUGGAAUUCAUCAUUUGAUGUGUUAGGAAGGUAAAGAAAUGAUGUGGUGUAAAGAAAAAAACACAGGCACAGAUCUGUUCAGAGAUAGGAUCCUACGGAGAUGAAGUUGUGAAAAUUUUCUCAUCUUUAACAUACCCAUUUUAACUUCGGUAGGCUUAAACUUAGAAAGGUUCAUAGAUAGACAAAUGUAAGUUUUGUAACCCUCUGCCUUUGUCUAGCACUAUUUCCUCGAAGAUUGGAGGGCAUCUGUAAGCCAGCACAGAUCACGCUGUGGCUUUUUCUGUGACUAUGGCCUCUUUGCUUUCAUUUGGAUUGCUCUUGAUAAUGUGUCCUUGCUUCAUUUUGGAAUUUUCCCACAAAUAAAUGGCUCACUUUUUUUGUGGUGUGAAAUUGCAUGGUAGAGCGGAGGUUGCCUUCCUGGGAACCCACCUAGACCACAGACUUGUUGAACCAACUGCAGGUUGUAUGAGAGCAGGCGAUGAUGCCCUUUAGAGGCAAGGUUGCCCCCAAACAAAAAUGCACUGGAGUGUAGUUCUGGCCAAAUCUGAAUGAUGAGAAAAACUUAGAAUAUAAUAUCAACAGGCUUUUAUCUCUGAGAACAUUUGAAGGGUUUUAAAAAUUCUGUAAAAUUGGUUUUGGUAUUGUUGGUUUUCUGCAGAUCACACUGGCCUGGUUGGGUGGACAUAGGGAGAGAGAAACUGUAUUGUAACCCCAUACUUAUGACUGGCAACAACUUCUAUCUGGAACACAGCUGAAAAGGGAAGAAGGGGAGAAGGAAAGGGAUGCCAAUACAAGGGAGCUUUGAAUCCAAAAUGGAUAUUAUAAAGAAAACAUCACAAGAAAUAGAUAUUACAAAAGGCUUUGAGGAACCAAAGAUGGAUAUAAAAAAGCAUCAAAUACUGUCUGAUGAGUGCCUCAGUUUGCCCUGUGUGUGAGGACUCACUGUCAGAAGCUGUUCCAGCUUGUCUUUAUACUGUGCAAGCUCUUGCAUAGUGUCAAGGUCACAUGCAGGUACAUGGCAGGGCUGGGCUGGGCUUCGAAGCCAGGCAGUCUGACUCCGGAGCCUGUUUUCUUCUCAACUACUGGGCUCUUGAAGGCCUGACAAUUGUGGUUACCUUGCUUUUCUGCCAACUGCAAAUUUAAAAGAGGCACUUAGAGGAAGGGAGGACUGCUGGAAACAGUGACAUUCAUCCCACUAGUUAAAAACAAAAGUUGGACAAGUCGUCAAAAGUAGUCACAAAAAUCAUUCCCCCCGACUCCAAAAACCCAGCACACACUGAUGCCAUUUAAUAAAGGGGGACACAUUGUCAUACAUGCCUUGCUUUCGAUGGAUAUCACUGUCCACGAUGUCCUGAGUUUAUUCAAUGAAAUUAAAUUCUGUUCAACAUCAUUGAAGAAUAACGGGGAUUAAGCUUUAUCUAAAAUAACAGGGAUUAAGCUUUACUAUGCUUUCAUUUCUGCAGAGCCUCUCUCCAGGAUGGUGCCAAAUUUGGGGAGAUGAGAACCUAUUCUGUUCACAGCAAGACAUCACUGUUAAAAAUGCAGGUGCCCAGGCCUCAUCCCAGACCUACCCAAUCACAAUUUGCAUUCUGACAAGGUCACUAGGUGCUUGCUAUGCACAUCAAAUGUUGAGAAGCACGGUCCUAAUCGUCACUAUAUCACCAUAACAACAGAAUGUUCUGUUGUUUCCUUCCUGGCAAGGUGCUAGGCAGUGAUUCUUAGCCUGGACUGCACAUAGAAAUCAUCCGAGGAGCUUUUUAAAAAUCCCAGCAUUCAGGCUGCUCCACAUACCUUGGCUUGCCACCUUUCACACCAGAGUCAUGCCAGAAACUCUGGAGGUGGGUGCCAGGCACCAGGAAUUUCUAAAGCUCCUUAUGUGAUUCCAGUAGGUUGAAAACUUCUGCCUUAAACUUGAGGAGGAAGCAUAAGGUUGUGAGCAGCCUGGCUCUUUGUCAGAAGCUGGGCUCUCAGCUUGGUGUCUGGAGCUACUCAGUGACCUUUGGAGCAUUAAAAAAAAUAUUUUGCUUUGUUGCUGCACUGCAUGAAACUUCUCCCAAGAUAUAAACAUGGCUCAGCAUAUUAUAAAUGAAAGCUUUUCAGCGUCAA